GCCUGGAUAAACACCACGUCAAAGAUAAAAAUCAGUCAAAGGGAUGGGGUGCCUGGGUGGCUCAGUUGGUUAAAUGUCUGACUUCAGCUCAGGUCAUGAUCUCACGGUUCAUGAGUUCAAGUCCCACAUCAGAUGAGCUUCAGCCCCACUUCAGAUGGAGGGAGCUGUGUGACGAGGAAUGUGAGUGGUCUCUAAAAACUGAGAGCAGUCUUCGCCUGAAGGCCAGCAAGGACAUGGGGACCUCAGUCUUAGAACCAUAGGAACCAAAUGCUGCCAACAACCUGAAUGACUUUGGAUGUGGAUUCUUCCCCAGACCCUCCAGAUAAGGACCUGGCCUGCUGAUACCUUGACUUUGGCCUCGUGAGACCCUGAGGAAAAACUCAGCUGAACCUCCUGCACCUCUAAAUUCUAGAAUUGUGAGAUAAUAAAUGUUUUAAGCUGCUAAA